AGAGAUGUUGGGAGACCUACAACUCAUGUUAGCUGAGGUGUGUGGUACAGCGUGUCCAGUGUAGGCAACAAAACAGCCUGACUCUGGUGGUUUCCCCUGUUUAGUUUGGGCCAUAUUCUUUCAAACUCCCUAUUCUAUGUUUGUGUUGGUUUUUCCUUUAGUUUGUAUUUUCUGAAGAAAAUCCAGUGGGUAUCCAUGGGAACGUGACCGUGGUCUGAAGGAAAAAAGAAGCCAAUCCAGUAGUGGACUGAUGUGAACUAAAAGGCCCGUACACCUUUUCUGAAAGACAGGGAUGAACUCCUGUGUUCAAAGGCUGGCUGCGACGCGGAAUGACACGUGCAAAGAACAGGCACAAUGAUUGGCAGCCACCAGUACUGUGAAAGCACAUCGGCUUGAGUCAACACCUGUCUUAACAAAAUGUUUUCAUUCAGCCUCGAAAUGCAUAGAUAUGUAAAUGUUGGGGGUGGGGGUGACGAUAACCAGGGAACUUUUACUACGGCGUGUAAUUAAAUAUUUCCCAGUGCAAAAUAAAGAUAAGGACUCCAUUAGGCCCUUAAAACAUUCCAGGAUAAUGGAUUUUU